UAAUCCAAUGCUCUGCGUAGGACUGAAAGCAACACAAUGAGGUGACUUCCCACAACACCAAAGCACAAAUGAUUCUUGACUUUAAUCAAACAAUAGAAAACCACAUAAUUAACUAAACACAUGAAGCAAAGCUAAGAGAUAUGCAUGCUGACGCCUGAUGAUAUUGACCAGCAAAUAAACAUGAGAAAAUCAAAACACUCACAGUGAAACGGUUCUUUUAAUGAAUUGAACAAAAGCAACUUACACAAUUGGAUCAAACAAUAUGAACACAUUGUAAAGCAUCAUUAAUUUUACUGAAAAUAUAGGGAAAAUCACAAGGACAGGAGAAGCAUGACAUGCCAUUCAUAGAAUAUGCUAGCCGCUACACAUCCUGUGUAGCAUAUAUUUAACAUUAAAUAGUUAAUCCCAUGAAAAAUUACUCAAUACUAUUAGUACAUAACUCUCCUCCCAAAUAUAAACAACUAGCGAGAAACCUCCAUCAUUCACAAAAACUGAAAGAUUAUCCAGGCUAUAGAUAGAAAGGUUGGUUGACAGAUCCAACAGUCCAAUCACUGGUCUUAUAUUGCUAAAAAGCAAAUUAGUAAUAUUUGCUAUCCACAGAGGCAAGAGCUAAUAAAAAGACAAUUCUAAACAAUAAACACAGCAAGUACAAACCUUUUUCCAUCUUUCCCAUGGCAA
rnacentral:misc_RNA from 1 species